rnacentral:lncRNA from 1 species
AUGGGGGAGGUGUCACUAAUACUAUAUAAAGCAUUAUUGGGAGUCUCAUCUCAUCAUAUUUUCUCUCAUCACCUGUACAGCAGCUCUCCUUCCAGUCACCCAGCAGGUAAGAUCACCAACUUUAACUCACCAUUAGAUGGUUUAUACUGUAGACCUUUAAAUAUUACAAGUAAAAAUGUUGCAGAUUCAGUUGCAGUUUGUCCUUUUUCAUUUUGUAUUAGAACAGCGAUGGCAGCAGCAGCUUGGUCCAGGAGCAGAGGAGUGGCUGGUGUCAGAGCCACCACAGGCCUGUUCUCCAUCUUCACUCUGCUGUGUCUGGUUUGCCUCUCAAGUUCACUGAUUCACAAAGACCAGCUGAAAGAGGUCAAGGAAAAAUUUCAGAAAACACAAAAACUACUGGAGGAGUUGAAGGUGAGUCAGUCACACAGUUCAUGUUGCUCACGUAAAUUACUUCAGAGUAAGUUUGGAGUGUUGAAAUACUGUGUGACUUUAUAUACAGCAGUGCAUACAUGGUAUAUGUUUAUUCAUUUUUUCCAUUAGGCAAUCUACCAGCCAGAAAUGGGCAACGUUAAAGAUCUCAUGGGGCUAUCUGUGAGUCUUAUGGAGUCCAUGGAAACAUUACUGAAGGCAGAUGAAGAAGACUUUCCUGAUGACCCUCUACAUGUGCUGGGAUUUGUGCAGAACGUCAAGGACUUCAUAAAGAGCACCAAGAAUAAAGUAGAUAAAAAGGAUGAGGAGAUGAGAGCAGAAAUAGAGAAAACUGAAAAGAAACUGGAAAGAAUUAGGAAAUUAAUCACAUUCCUUGAGGAGCAACAAUUUGAACUGUAAAUCCCAUGUCAGCCAGUGCUUCUACCUCUGAUACUGCAGCUUUUGCAACUUAUCCUUCGGCUUCAUUUGAGUAUUUUCUCUGAACUGGAUUUGAAAUCAUGUUUGACAUAAAGUAGGAGGUUAGAGAGAGACGCACUAUUGACAGGGAUGUGAGAGGUGUUGUACUACUUUUAUUGAACACAUUUACAAAUGUACUGAUGUGCAGCCAUUACAGUUAUGGUACUGGCAACAAUGCUAAUGCAGGAAUACAUAAAAUAAACACAUUUUACUCCUUUUAUUUCUAGUGCAAUAUAUUGCGGUGGAUUACUAAAGAUAAUCAUGUUUCUGUUUGCUUCUGCUGGUUUUUUCAUGGUUUUCUUGGAAUAACAGAAUCUACAAUACAAACUAUAAUCUUCGACAUUUCUUACUUUACUGAUUUUACUUUAUUGAAAUCAGAGCUAUUGAAAACAUAUGCUGUAAAACUAUGUUGCAUGAAAUUCAGCAUGUGUGGAAAACCCAAAUAAAUGUCCUACAUGGGAACUGUUGCUGUCUGUCGUUUCUUUCU